GCAAGUCUGCUGAGGACCGAAUGUUCCUGUCCAUAAAAACAGAAGUCUGGCCUGGGCUCCUCUCUUGGGAACUGGUGAAGAUUUCCCCAGCAAAAAGUAGAAGCUCAGUGUUUCAUAGAUGAAGACUGGGGAGAUUGCAAAAGACCCAUCCAGAGUCUCACUUUGUCGCCCAGGCUGGAGUACAGUGGUGCGAUCUUGGCUCUCUGCAACCUCUGCCUCCCAGGUUCAAGUAAUUCUCCUGCCUCAGCCUCCCGAGUAGCUGGUACUACAGGCACACAUUUGUAGAGAUGGUGUUUCCCCAUGUCAUCCAGGCUGGUCUGGAACUCCUGGGAUCAAGUAAUCCACCCGCCUCGGCCUCCCAAAGUGCUGGGAUUACAGACGUGAGCCACCACGCCCUGCCAAUAAAAAGAUUAUCUCCAGAUGCUGACUAAGGUACAGAGAGGUCAAGUAACUUGCCCAAAGUCACACAACUAUCAAGGAGCAGAGCUGAGGUUUGAUGUCACAGAGGGGUCAAGAUACAGUCAUAUUUAUUAAACAGCCUACUUCAUGCUUUGAACAGAAGAGUUUUAUCAGUUUUAAAUGUUUCUUCAUUUCUAUACCUUCUUUUAUCUGAGGAGCUUAAGCCAUUUUGUAGAGGCAUUAAGUAUUGCCUCAGUCUUAAUAUGUGAGACAAGGUGUGAGGAAUAUAGAGAUUCAUAAAAUAAUCCCCAUCUUCAAGGAACUCACAGUCAGGAAGAACAGAGCCUGCAACACAAAUAAUUGCAAUAUAGUAGAAGUGCCAAUAGGAGCUCUAUGAAGGGCGUGAAACAGGAAAGGCUACAUAGAGGAGAUGGCAGACACUCUGUGGAUUGUGACCUGUUGGUGGGCCAUGAAAUCAAUUUGGGGGUUUGAGAGCAUCAUUCUUUUAAUAAAACAGAAGAGAAUCAUCUGCAAUAAGGAACCCAUGGAUGAAUACCAUCUGGUCCUGGUGAUUUACUGCACAGAGUCCCUCAAGUUGCUCCAUACCUUUCUCCUGAGAGACUGAAGAAUCUCUGUCAAGGCCGUUCUCUGCUUUGCCAUAAAAUGUGUCCUUGGAACAAGAAUUUCCCCAUUGUCUUCUUCAAUAAAUACUGAUUCAAAGUAUUCAUUUAGCUGUUCC
rnacentral:lncRNA from 1 species